ACCGGCGCACGGGUGAGUAACACGUAUCCAACCUGCCGCUUACUCGGGGAUAGCCUUUCGAAAGAAAGAUUAAUACCCGAUGGUAUAAAGAGUUCGCAUGUUCUCUUUAUUAAAGAAUUUCGGUAAGCGAUGGGGAUGCGUUCCAUUAGAUAGUUGGCGGGGUAACGGCCCACCAAGUCUACGAUGGAUAGGGGUUCUGAGAGGAAGGUCCCCCACAUUGGAACUGAGACACGGUCCAAACUCCUACGGGAGGCAGCAGUGAGGAAUAUUGGUCAAUGGACGAGAGUCUGAACCAGCCAAGUAGCGUGAAGGAUGACUGCCCUAUGGGUUGUAAACUUCUUUUAUAAGGGAAUAAAGUGAGGGACGUGUCCCUUUUUGUAUGUACCUUAUGAAUAAGGAUCGGCUAACUCCGUGCCAGCAGCCGCGGUAAUACGGAGGAUCCAAGCGUUAUCCGGAUUUAUUGGGUUUAAAGGGAGCGUAGGUUGACAUAUAAGUCAGCUGUGAAAGUUUACGGCUCAACCGUGAAAUUGCAGUUGAUACUGUAUGUCUUGAGUGUACAAGAGGUGGGCGGAAUUCGUGGUGUAGCGGUGAAAUGCUUAGAUAUCACGAAGAACUCCAAUUGCGAAGGCAGCUCACUGGGGUACAACUGACACUGAGGCUCGAAAGUGUGGGUAUCAAACAGGAUUAGAUACCCUGGUAGUCCACACAGUAAACGAUGAAUACUCGCUGUUUG
rnacentral:rRNA from 1 species